rnacentral:rRNA from 1 species
GACAGAGGGUGCAAACGUUGUUCGGAAUUACUGGGCGUAAAGCGCGUGUAGGCGGCAAGGCAAGUCGGAUGUGAAAGCCCACGGCUCAACCGUGGAAGUGCACCCGAAACUGCCUAGCUAGAGUCUCGGAGAGGAAGGUGGAAUGCUUGGUGUAGAGGUGAAAUUCGUAGAUAUCAAGCGGAACACCGGUGGCGAAGGCGGCGACCUGGGUAGAUACUGACGCUGAGGUGCGAAAGCGUGGGGAGCAAACAGG